GUACCCGGGUACCCGGUACCCGGUACCCGGUACCCGGGUACCCGGGUACCCGGUACCCG
rnacentral:ncRNA from 1 species